rnacentral:rRNA from 1 species
AGUGUACGCUGGCGGUAGGCCUAACACAUGCAAGUCGAACGGCAGCACAGUAAGAGCUUGCUCUUACGGGUGGCGAGUGGCGGACGGGUGAGGAAUACAUCGGAAUCUACUUUUUCGUGGGGGAUAACGUAGGGAAACUUACGCUAAUACCGCAUACGACCUACGGGUGAAAGCAGGGGAUCUUCGGACCUUGCGCGAUUGAAUGAGCCGAUGUCGGAGUAGCUAGUUGGCGGGGUAAAGGCCCACCAAGGCGACGAUCCGUAGCUUGUCUGAGAGGAUGAUCGGCCACACUGGAACUGGGACACGGUCCAGACUCCUACGGGAGGCAGCAGUGGGGAAUAUUGGACAAUGGGCGCAAGCCUGAUCCAGCCAUACCGCGUGGGUGAAGAAGGCCUUCGGGUUGUAAAGCCCUUUUGUUGGGAAAGAAAAGCAGCAGGUUAAUACCCCGCUGUUCUGACGGUACCCAAAGAAUAAGCACCGGCUAACUUCGUG